CUCGUGUUCGUGGUACACGCGAGAACAACUCACUUAGUGAAAAAUUUCCAAACAUUCGCACAACUGAAUGUUGAUAUAAAGAUAUUUUAUAUGGUUUUUCCUCCAGUUUCUCUGUAAAUUGCAACGGUAAUCAAUGUUUAAUACGCAAAAGGUAUGUAUCUUGCGGUACAGAAUCUGAAAUAUUAUAUUCUCUGCGAACAGCUGCCGAACUGUGUACAUUUUUACGAUUAAAAUGUCAACAACAUCAACUUUAUAAAUAAUCCAGUCAAACAUGUCGUAUUGUAUCAGAUAAAUAGUACAAAUGGCUGGUGCUUAGAAUAAUAUGUAUCAUAGGUUAUACCCCAUUUGAAAAUUCCUAAUAUUUAAAGUACUGAAACUGUGAAACAUGUGCUAAAAGGUAGCAGCAUAAGUAUUACGGAAUAACCAUAUGGUAUUACUAUUAGAGGUCAUUACUGUAGAUACAUGUAUUUAGGCCAUAUAAAAAAAAAUAGUUGGUUAGCGUCCUUAGCUUUUGCCAAAAAGUGGGCGGGCGGGCGCUUUUUUUAAAAUUUUUACUAAUUUUUAACGCCUUGGUUUUACUCACUGUUAGGUCCGAAACUGGAUUUUCUUGCGCAGUACAGAUAUUUUUUUAUAUAUUUCAAAAUAUAAUUCAUACCGUCACUUUCGCACGCAAUUUCGCAAAUUAUUAACACAAUUGACUACAGUCAACAGAAAUACUACAUAUAUUAGAGCCCGUUGAUCAAUAAAAGUCGUGUUUUUUUAAAUAAAAAAUAAAAAAAAUCCUGAGCGGGGCCUUUUUUGUGGGCGGGCGGGGACGCUAACCAACUAUUUUUUUUAUGUGGCCUUACAGUGAAUAUUAAUUAACAAACAUUUAAUAACCCAGGGUGCAUUGUAAACUCUAUGCCGAAGAUACGCCAAUAUUAACUAUAGAUAGUAUUGUAAUUUGCCAAACUCACGCCGACGAUAUUCGGCAUAUUGCAUUUAAAAUGCAUGCACCCUGGCAUUUAACGAAUCCAAGGAUGUUUGCAAGCACUUUAAUUUCAUGAGUGGCGAAUUUUAUGAUCUAUUUUAUACUACUAUGGUGUGACUAUGCGUAGUUGUGUAUUAGCCUAGUAGUGUUCCUGGUACACUAAUUGCCAGUGAGAUCAUAGACGGAUUUAAUUUCAUAUUUUUUACUGGGGUGGUGCCAGAAAUUUUAGGGGGGUGAGCCGUGAGCAGGUGACUGAAGCAACAAAGUGUCACCAAACCCCAUUCUAGGGGUGGAGCGCCAGAGCUGCAAGGGGGAGUCUCAAAGUAUCCCUGGAAAUAUUGGAAAAAAAUCAUGAUUUCUAGCUUUGUAAAAAAGUUUUUUGAAGUUGUCAUUAGUGAUAUCAAUGGAUUUGGCCCGUAUGAUUGUCUGUUGAGACUUGAGAGAGUUAAAGUUAAAUUAACCUGUAAAAGUCUAAACCCAAUAGGCCAAAUAAUACACAAUAUGGUUUUACUUUUAUAAAGUCAUUGACAUUGUGUCGUUUGAAUCCGAGUACAAUUUAUGAUACAACUCCGAUAAUAUUUGGGGUGUAAAGAUUAAAUCUAGGCAAGUAUAUUUCCUAAAAGAAUUAAAAACUAAAAAUAAUAUAUAAUAGCAAGCUAUUUGCAUGACUUGAAGGCACUGCAAACUCUAUUCAGGGGAGAUAAUAGAGUUUCAAAACUUUACAAUUGCUCCAAUAAACCAGUGAAUGCAAGCGAGGAGCGAUUAGUUUCAGAGUGUUGCACUGUCUUUUUCUGUUCAAGUGUACUCCUACGUUUAUUUUGUAUUAUCAACACUCUGCAUGUUGGAGUGGACUAUUUAAUUAUUUCUUAUUAUGCCGAACAUUGGGGGGGGGGGCGGGGUUGAAAUUUUUUUGGAGGGGUGGACAUUUUGUUUGGGGAGGUUAUAGCUACACACACAAAAUCUGUCUAUGAGUGAGAUGUAGGUAUAGUCAAAUCUGAACCUCUCUAAAUGCCUUUUUAUGAUAAAGCCAAUUUGCAAAAAUAAUUCUGCUGCACAAUUUUUUAAUCUGUAAAUAUUGGAAAAGCAUUGAGUAUCAAAACCCCAAAAUACAAUCCAAAUGCAGGAAAUGCUAUUAAUUUCUUUGACACAUUUAAUAAAGCAUACUAAAAUCUCAAUCUUUGUCUGAAAUACAGUGGUAGACCUAAAUGCUUGUAAUAUCCCAGCAUUCGUCUCUGAUUAUAAAUACAAGCUAACCCAAAUAUUCAGCUACUGAACAUUAGCUUCAUGGUGGUGUGCAAUAUAUUUACAUUUAGUAUUAAGUUAACUUGAUAAGUUGUUUGGAAGUACUGCACUGCUCAUUUUUAGUUACAUGUAAGGGAUAUACUGGUUAGUGAUUUGCCAGAUACCGGAUGGUACUGUGUUGUAGUCUACUGACCAGUCACCAAUCUGGGGAAAAUGAUAACUGGAUUAUAUAUUAUAAUAAGUGGAUACUGAACGCUACGAGGAGUCAUGGACAAUAUUUUACUAUUUUUCCUUUUCCCAUAAUUUGUUCCAUUGGCACAGAGGUCAGCAGGCAAUCUGACUACAGCAGUUUACAUCAUGCAAACAUUCUCUGCAUGGGACAUGCCCAGUAAUUACUCCUGCUUCACAUUUUUAACACACACAAAAAUCAAAUGAAACAAUUUUCAGUUUCAUGGUUAAUAAAGUUCCAGACCUAUCCAGUAAAUAUCCAGCAAAUUUUAAUUAUCAGAUGUCUGAUGUGAGUGGUAUCUGGAUCCAGCACAUCUCUAAUUUUAGCAAUACAUUAGACUAAAGUUUGUUUUGUAACAAAAAUUGAACCAAUAAACCAUAAGAUACUAGAUAUUUGCAGGGUCUGAAAUUUAUAUUUUUUCUCAGUAUCCAACUGGGAUACCAGGAUUCAUAGUUUAGUACCCCCCCCCCCGAGAAUCCAGCAUCCCACUUCUGGUUACCGGUACCAUAAAUAUUAAUGUAUUAUACCCUGUCCCAUCCAAAUAAGUUGCCAUAACUCUCACUGUUGCAAAUUACAAUAACAACAGGAGACUCGCCAGUCAACAACUAAACAAUUCAUUAAUACACUGAAUUGUACAUACAGUAAUCAUUCAACAAACUUCUAAUGUAUAUGGUAGUCCUCAAUGAGGAAAGGCUGGCAGCAAACUGAUAGUAUUCAAAAGCCAUCAGGAGCUCGUCAAAGGUGUGUAAGUGGUUUUGAAUACCCAAACCGUGACUGACUGGAUACUAAGAAAAUUUCAAACAUUAAAUGUUUGAAAUUUUCUUAGUAUCCAGUCAGUCACGGUUUGGGUAUUCAAAACCAAAUUUUUGGUAUCGCGUGGAUAUCGGGAUACUGCAAAUUUCAGACCCUGUAUGUGGCACAGUACUUAGGGUUGUCCCCUCCCAUAACAAUACAUGUUUACUUUGUAUGUGUGCAAGUUUAUAAAUAUAAUAUUUUAUAUUCUACAUAUAGUGUUUUAUAUCAUAGUAUUUUAUAUUCUACGAUAUUAUAAAAGACUUUGCUUCAAUUACAACAUUAUUUUCAGUUAAUUUAUGUGGAAACAUUGUCAACAAUUGGUUUUGGAGGCAUUGAUGCAAAUGGCUUCUCAUCUGUGAUUGAAAAAACACCAGAUUCUUCAAAGAAAUUCCUUUUGCCAAGGCAAGAGCGUUUGCAAUUGCAAAAAGGCCACAAUCACUUUCUCCUAUCUGGUUCUGGCACAUACAAGCUUUCACUCUAACUGGUUGUUGUUCAUCUGUCCUGUCACUGUAAACAUGUAGAAGCUGACAACCAAGCGUUGAUGAAAUAGAUGGUUUCAUUGAGUCGUACACAGUUAUAUUCCCACCAGAUACACUUGAAACUACCCAGUGCAUAUUGCCAGAAUGGUGUAUUUGGAUACCACAUGUUGCUGUUGAUGGACAAGGUGGUGAUUUCUUACUGGCUACACGUAAUGAAUUUGCUAGACCCUUCACAUUUGGAAACUGUUUGUGAAUAAGGUCUUGAGCAGAGUUAAUGAUACUGUCAUUUAGCCAUGCAUGAUUGCUUUGCAAUAUGUCCUCAUCUUCUUUCCUAAGCCCAAGGGAAGGAACCCACAUUGUGCUACGACUCGGUUUUUCUGCAUUGUCAUCUUGACAUGUUAAAUUAAGUCAACAACAUUCUUUGGUGGAUUUUUUAUAUAUUUGGGAAUUGUCCUGGCAGGAACUUUGUUUACAGAGAUGUUCACUCUGUAUUGCUUCCUCAUAAUUUCUGCACGGCGUCCAACUCGUUUGGCAAAUGGAUGACGAGGCUUACCAUAUUUUCUUUCAGGAAGGCAAUCUUUAACAUCUGCUUUUUCUUUCCUUGCUCUUUUUGGUAAUUUCUUCCUCAUAUUUCCCUCUUCAUUCGUUGAAGAUGUUGUUGCCUUUCUCUUCUUUCUCUUUUUCUGACCAGUCUCAUUUUCCAAAACGAUGCCUUUGUCUGAUUUGACCAAUUGUUCAGUUUCUUUAAAUAUCUGUUGAAGUUGACCUUCGAGUUUCUCAAGGCUUGGCGUAUCCUUUAACAAAUAAGUCAGUCCGUUUACCUUUUUUAAAAUAACUCUGCAUUUAGCCUGCAAAAGUUUUUUGCUUGUUUUUCUUCUUGGCGGAAGAUCUUGUGUUUUACCAGGAUCAUUUAAACCAUCUUCAACUUCAAAUGUUGUGUUUUCGUUGGUCACAUCACUUAUUGCAUUACCAGAUGCCAAGCUAGAUAGCUUGAAAUAAAAAUUAAGCAAACUUUCAGAUAGAUUAUCUACACUACGACUACCAUGCAAAAUUGCAUCGGAAGGUAAAAGGGAAUGUAGCCAGCACUGUCUAGUAUAUUGUCCUUUAUAAGAUUCAUUUUAACUACAGAAAACAUAAGUUAAACUGAUCAAUCUCUCUUUUAUUUAGUUGUCUUCAAACACAAGACUACUAGUAAGCAUGUAAUAAAAGGGAUUUAACGUUAUUUUCUUACUCUGACAACUACAAAUCGACUAUCAUCAUCUGUAUCAAUAGACUGCUUUGUACAAGCCCGACUUACCUUUUCUUGUUCCUGACGAUUGUCUUGGGAUACUGCUGGAGAUUGGUUCAGGCAGAUCUCGUCUAGAUUUAAUAUGGAGAGGCUUUUGUACAAUGGGCUUAAAUCAUUCCAUUUUCGUUCUGUAUUUUUGAAUACAGCACAAAAAUGUUUGCAGGGAAGCUUAGUUUUGUUCCAGUCUGCGCAUUGACAACUUGGAUGGCUUGAUUCAUCACCAAAAUUGACAGUAUACCACUUGUCAGAAGAAGUCGUGCUCUGAACUAAGUAUUUCUCAUCCUCCGUUUUUUUAACAGCCUUACUUGUGUGCCAGCAAUCUUCCCAUCUUUUCAAAACAUGGGCAACCACAAACCUUGGACGGUUCCGUAAAAACUCGGGAAUAUCUUUGUUGUACAUUCGAUAGCCUGACGAAUACUGGACAUUCAGUGAGACAUAUCUGCAAUAAUAAUAAAGACAUGUUGUCUCUUGGGAGGCGAAGACAUAGGUAACGAAGAGUGGAAGCUGAGAACAAAUGAAGUCUUAGUUUCACUAAUAUGUGAUAACGCUGAAAGAUUCUAAUGACGAAAAAACGAUGACAGCUAUUAUCUUGACAAAGCGUAGUUGUCUGUCAAAAUUUAUGCAAUUAAACAGUGUUAUAAACUUACUUUAAAUAGGAGUUAGGCAGAAAGUUUUCAAUGACCACAGACAGCAUUUCACUAAGAGAGCAAUUUCUGUAGCCAACCAGAUAUUCAUAUUUUAAUGCUUCAUUCUGACGCUCUACACCAUUGUUUGUAUGGACUGCCACUUCCAUGUCUUCUAUGCGAAAUGCUUGUACCCAUCUCUAAGAAUGUAAAAUAAACAUUUGUGAACGACACACAAAAAGGCUUCAAACAAAAGUAUUAACCGAAUUUGAAAGUAAGAAUAAGAUUUUUCGAAAGGUUUUUCGUAUUUGGAUGGAUGAAAAAGUGUUUGAAAAGAAUGAUUAUGAAUUUAAAUUUUAAGGUAUCAAGACGAAUCGUUUUUGCAUAUCCUAAACAACACGGCAUCUCGUGCUGUAUUUAUUUAUUGGAAACAUUUAUAUAAAGUAUAACUGAUUUUAAACUAUGCACCUUUGCAUUUGGUAACCACUUUCCUUCUUGCCAUUUUUGGAGUUUCAAGGAAGACUUCCAUAAAGUGCUUUCUUUCAUGAUUUUCACUGCAUCUUCAAACUCCUUUGUUGUGGUUGAGCGGGCAAUAGAACGAAGGUAGCGCAGAAUCUCAUCUUUGUGCUCACUUACACCAUGGUCAGAUUUGCUGAUCCAUUCACCUCAAGCUUUUUCUCGAUGGAAGUCACAUAGAAAUACAGUGCUUUCUACAAUGGAUAAUUAUUUCGUUAUAAUUAUUUAUUAUAAUCUUGUAGACAAUAUAAUUCCUAGUGGUGAUAAUUCACACUCGUCUCUCUAUAGGUUUUUACAUCGACUCAGUAUCGUCAUAUAUAAGCCAUAGAUACACCAAGUAAUAAAGAAGAUCUUGGAUAUCAGUAUACAAUUAUACUGAUAUCCAAGAUCUUGUUUAUUACUUGGUGUGCACAUGGCUCACAUGGUUCAACAUAUUGCAACUAUCGGUUCUCAAUUACUUGGCACAAACUGGCAGAUAAAUAUUCCAACAUUUCAUGUUACGUGUAAAUUUAUAUUAUUACUGAUUUUCAACAGAUUCUACUGUCCUACUUUAUCCAGACUCCAGAGUACGAUUAUAAAUUUGUCUAUUUUAAUCUGAUGAAGGCAGCAAAAAAGACAUAAUAAUUAAAACUAACUGCACCACAGCUUACCAGGAAAUAUAGACUCUAUAGCUUGUAUCUCCUCAUCUGCAAAAUCUACCAUAAAGUUCUGUUGUUUCCAAUGAGGGUUCCAACGUCGCAAUAUCGCCAGUGCUUCUUUAAUGCUAUCAAUGUCUUCUUGUUGAAUGACAAAGAGUCCAACAACUUGGUAGCCGACAUUGGUUUUCACACAAAGGAAAAAGAGUGGAAGUGCAUACCUUGUUGUUCGGUAAGUGGCAUCAAGAAGGCACAUGUUUCCAUAUCUUGCAAGUAAUCGGCGUUGUUCUUCAGACUGGUAACAAAACAACAGAUUAUUGUGUUGUGUAGGAGAUGGCGUAGCUUUAAUAUCGUCAAUAUCAUCUUCAGUGUCUUCAUCAUCAGCCCCAGAGGUAGACGCAUCUUCAGGCUUUUUAUCUGUGUCGGGCUGGGAAGUGUGAGCUCUGAAGAAGAACAUGUCGCCUGGCUUUUGUGCUUUCCAGCUAGAAACCAGGUGCUGCAGAUAAUCUUGGUCAAUGUGGGUGAAACGUUUUUCUCUCUUAAUUUUACCGAUCUCGUUUGCGAUAUCCUUCCUUCUGGGAAAAUAUCUUCUUCUUGUUUUGGGUGGAAUAGCUGUGCCUUUGAAAAGGUCGUUCUUUACAUAAUGCUCCAAGUAUCUUUUGACAUCACUCACUCGUCUAACGCUCAUCCCAAUCAGUUCUGCUAUCUUGUCUUUAAUUGCAGGAUCUAUUGCUUCACAAAUACCUGCUGCCUGUAAAAUAAUUAGGUGACUAAUAAAUAAAUAUUGCAAAUAAUCAUAUGUAAUCGACUAGUGUAUUUAAUAAAUGGCUUACUAUAUGUAGGAGAGGGAGAGAAACACCCAAUGUUUCAUUUAUUAUAACAUUCUUUGGAUUUAAUUGCUUUUCACAAAUGCAUCAUGAUUUUACACACACACACAUAAUACAGUACAUGAAUUGCUCACAUCUUUACUUGAAUAAAGGAAUAAUGGUUUUAAUACGUGCACUUCUUAAUUGGCAUCUUGUUUUUAAUAUUUAAUCUUGAAAUAUCUUUUUUAUUUCCCUGGGCUGUUACAUAUUUGGGCUAACCUUUAUUUGGAUAUUGGGUUGUUAUGUUAUUUUUAUUUAUCUUAACAUGAACAUAAAUAUGACUUUAUAACCAAGAAAAGAUGUAAUCCAAUUGUAUCAGUAAAAUUCACUUUUGAAAUUAUGAACAAAUGGAACAUGUGUUGAUUACGCGAAUUCUAAAUGUGAUUAUAGCACCAACACGUCCGUAUAAUAAUCGGAAUUUAAACACUUAACGUCGGUAAAUUAUAUACGUUUUAUGAUGAAUAUUACCUCUCCAACUAUGUGAUUAAUAUGUUCAUCUGGUCGUGGCAAUUUGACGUAAAAUCUGGACUCGUGUUUGGCACUCCCCUCCUUAAUAGAGUCGCGCAAGGUUUUGGAACUUUGCUUCCUAAACCAUGCAGUAUUACGUGGAAUCUAUAACAUAACGUAACAUAAAAUUCAUUAAUAAACACAUAUCCUCUUGAUUGUUUUAUUGAUUUGGGCUUAAUUGAAAUACAAGUAAGGUAAUAUGUCUGUUUAAAAAAUUAUACUUAAGGAUACGUAAAUAAAUUUAUCAUUUAUGACUUGGCAAUAAUAUUAACUGGUAACCAGACUACAAAAGUUAUUUGAAGACCAAUUUCUUCAACGAUGGAUUUACUGGAGGGGUGCACCCCCCUAGCCCUGGCAAGAGGGGGUGCAGGGGGUGCUAUUUUUCAUGAUAAAACAAAACAUUAUUAGAGGCCAAAUGAGAUACAGUAAUUUGAGUAAUAACAUGAUGAUAACCGAACUGUGAACAACAAUUACAAUUCGAAUACAGUAGUCAAGCAAGACUUUGCAGUAGUGAAGCAAGUUGAUGUGCGGGCGGCACACAUGGCCGACACAACUCGGCACCAGAGCUGGCAGAUCAUGCUGGAUCCAUCCCUGGCUUAAACCUUCAGUAUUUUCCCACAACCAAUUCUCAACAUAAUAUUAAAACAGUCGAAUCGUUCAGACCUCUGCUUGCUCCUCUCUUACUAAACAUUCAUUUCUACUUUUAUUUUUUUAGGCAGUAACAGAACUUUUAUUCUUUAGUAGCCACUUUUAAUGCCACUACUGAUAUGUCUAUGAUGUGCUCACUGUAUACACAGGCCACAGUGGGACUUAAAUUCUACCAUAUAACAUAUUCCAUCAAGAUAUGGUCUGGAAAACUCUACAAACUUCACCAUGCACAAAUAUUUUGAAGUUUUAAUUGUAGUAACAGUACAGCUGGGUACUGAUGCGAGGAGAUCCUGCGUUGGAUGGAUUAUGUCUAUUUUUGCCUCAGACAUGCAAUGAGCCUCAGUUUUAAAAUUAUCUUCAAAUUUGCAUAUACUGUAUGCAUGCAAAAACGUUCGCCGAGUUUCAGAUCAUGUCUUUCUCUAUUGAACUAAUUCAGUAAUUGUCUUGACUUUAAUGCUGCUGGAAAAUUAAAGUUGGAUUUCACUAAUUGAUUAAGAUUGUCUACCUUUAUGAAUGUCUAUCUUUUAUGCAAUUGACACUUGACAGUGUCUAGCAUUUGGACUUUUGUUCUUUUAAAUCGAUAUCAAUUGAAAUCUAUUUAAUUUUAUUUUUUAAAGUAAGAAUAGAUUUCAUAAUUCAUAAAUAGAUUGCAUGUAAACUUUAAUAUAUAAAUCAUACCUUGUUCUCAGGAAACUUGAAAACAUGUUUGACAGAGAUAGAUGCUGGACAAUCCUUCUUUUUCGUAUUUUGUAUAAGAAAUCGUUUCUUGAAUGUUUUGUCAUAAUUAUGUUCCCCAAUCUAAAUUAUAGUACAAACGUGAUUUAGGGGCCGAUUACAUGGCCAUGGGCGAGUUGUCCCGGCUAAGCGAGUUGAGUCGCUUUGCCGAGUUGACCCGCUUCCUAUAUGUAUUGUCUAUUAUUUUGACAUUUCGAUUACAUGCAAAGCGAGUUGUCCGUGACCGCGGCUGUAGCUUGCCGAGUCAACUCGCUUAGCCGGGACAGAAAUUGCCCACACAUCCCAUGUAAUCGCUUUUUGCCGAGUUAGCUCAGCAAAGCGGGCUGAAAACCACACUUGUGCAUGUUUUAAUUUAUUACGAUUUAC